AAUAGUAUGGCUCAUUGGUGAGAGCACUGGCUUAAGAGUCAAAAAUCAUAGGUUCAAAUCCCACUUCUGAUA
rnacentral:tRNA from 1 species